UAUCCCACCGAUAGAUGCCUGCGGUCGUCCCCUCCAAGACUUCGCUGUUGGCAUGUCCAUCUACGAAGCCUCGACCGCCGGGCCCCCGUUUUCCUUCCCGGCGCUGGCCACUCCAUCGCCUUUCCGACAGACGCAUCUCCUCCGCCUCCACUUUGCCUAUGUGGGAUCACACUACCACUGACCAUAUGGCCGGUUCCUCAGGUCGGGCACCAGAUGCUCCGAACCUGCCAUAUCAUGCUCGGCUAUGGCGGGAACGAGACGAUCGCCUGGGCCACCUCCCAUGGUCCUCGGCAGCUCAAAAUAAGAGGAAGGACAGACGGCGUAGGAAAGACGCUCGAUCGAGAGACGGCCGCCUCUGGCAUCACAAGACCUCUAUGUCGCCAUGGCAGUUAGACGCGUGAUGCGUCCGACAACGCGCCCUCACUCCCAGACAACUCGCAGCCAUUCUCCGACGACGACGCUUGCGGCUUGCCCAGCCGCCCUAUGCAGCCCUCCCGCCGUCAGCGUGCGAGGUCGCUACGGCCCGGCUACCUUGCGCCCUCUCGCUGUCUCUUUGGUCGCAGCCCGGUGCCGCCUUCCAGCGCAGAUGGGAGGCCGCCGCCUUGAGCUCGCGCCAGCCCUGCUGCAAGUCAACCGUGGAUGAGGUCGACCCGCACAGACGGGAGACGGCGCAGAGUGUUGGCCGCGCUCGCCGCCGUGGUAAUGGGCAUGGCCAGGCCAAUACGAUGAUGGACGAGAUGGUCUACAUCAUGAACAACAAGAAAGUGCACGACGGCACCCUCGCGGCCUCGCCAAAACCCCUGUGCCCCAGGCCGUAUCUCUGGCUACUCCUCCAGCGGCUCCGCCGUCGCCGUCGCCUGAAGCCUAGCUGACUUCGCCCUGGGCACAGAAAGCGGCGGCAGCGUCAGGGUGCCCGCUGCCUAUUGCGGCAUCUGCAGGCUCCGGCCCUCCCACGGACUGAUGUGCACUGAAUAUGUCGUCCUGAUGGCACAUAUGUUCGACACUGUCGGUUUCAGUUAUGCUUAUGCGAUAUUUGCCCCGCGAUGGAGCCAGUCGAACAUAUGUUGCUUUCACUGCAUGGCCGGGUCGAGCUGUGGAAUGCCCUGGGGCUACUCACUAAAGCACUAUACUCCUCCUACUCAUUGUCUUUCUUUCCUUCGAGGUUUAGGACAGUUCGUAAUACGCGUCUUCGAUAAUAUGCACAUCUCCAAAACGGUAUCCUGCAUGAGCAUUGCAGAAGUGUGGACCAAAGACCUUGUCAUGAAGGGCUUGACAUAUUCCUCAAAAAGAAAGUGUGAGUUGGGUGCUUCAGAUUAUCUCAUGUUUUCAAGGCCUCAAAACAAUGAUCCAUGCAGCCCAUCAUUUUUUAUCUGACACAAGUGUCUGACUUUGCAAUAGUGUCCUUUUCCCAAAAAAAAAAAGCAAGUGUCCUAGAAAUUAGAUAGAUUUUAUUUUUCAUGUCUGCAACUUACUUUGAUAAGGUUCAUCGAUCUGCUAAUACAAACGUCCAUGGCUGGGACAAAUUAGGUGGUUGUGUGUCAAGUCUCGGUGUGUUAUGGGAUGCAGUUCCACUCUGUGUGGUGAGCCAACUUUCGACUGAUUGUAAAUAUAUAUAUAUAGUUUCUUAAUAUAUAAAACGUUUUUUCAUUUAUUGUAAAAAUAUAUAUUUCAAAUAUAAGUCCCCUUUUCAUCAAAAAAGGAAAAAGAAAUUGUGAGCUUGCUGUUGUUAUCCCCUGUUUUUUGUGAAUAAUGUUGUGUAUACAGUUUUACUUUGGAAAAGUUGUGGUUGUGUGGCCAUGUGGAUACUCCUGUUACUUUUUCUGUUCCAUGCGAUAUGACUACUUGAGAUGUUUUAAUGAGUCAGGGAACAUAUAAAACACAUCCAGCGUGAAAUAUGAAACUAUACAUAAACCACCAACGACGCGCGACGAGAACUGGCGGUCUCGCGAAGUAAGGGCAUAUCCAUGCACUUAAUUUCAUCUUUAAUUCCACAUCCUUAUAAUUUUCUGAAGUGCAGAAUCCCAUCUAGGGACUUCCAGUAUUUUCUCUUUCAUCGGUGACUUCCACUUGAAUCCGUUCCCAAUGGAAGAACAGUGCACUAUAUCACAAAGGAAUGCCUUAUCUACCAUUGUUGCUCUGCUUAUUCAUCUACAAUGAGAUGCUCUUCAUGAAAGACAUAAAGUGGGCUGCAACCUUUCCAGUUUCUUCCGGUUCUGCACUACUUACAAGAUCAAUGUUUUCUUCUUAUUUUGUCUUACAUGAAUGAAAUGAUCAGUCUCUAUGGUGAACAUGAUCAUUGUAAUUUUUUGUUUGUUAUUCAUGCUGGGCUAAGGAGGGAAAUGUCUAAUUUUAUAGCA